GAAAUGCGAUACGCAAUGCGAAUUGCAGAAAUCCGCGAGUCAUCAGAUCUUUGAACGCAAAUGGCGCCAUUGUCACCGAUGGCAUGUUUGUUUCAGUGUAUUCAGAAUCCUACAUCAAAAUGUGGUUGAUUUUUCACGAAAUCUCCCAUCAAAUUCGAAGCCUGCUGAGUCUUCUCAGCCAACGAAGUAGUCACUUUCUAAGUGAUCUCGUUGCUCUGAGAGAUUCACAAAAAGUAGGUUUGUAAUUAGAAUUUUCUACCGAUACCUGAAAUCAAGCAAGAAGACCCGCCGAACUUAA
rnacentral:misc_RNA from 1 species